UACUACUUUCUUGGGAAAAAAUGUUUUGAAAGCAUGAAAGAAGUGUUCAAAUCACUUAGUAGUUU
rnacentral:tRNA from 1 species